CCGUGUUUGUGGAAACCCUCAAGCUAUUAUCAGGAAGUAUGGUCUCAUGUGUUGCAGACAGUGCUUCCGCAGUAACGCUAAGGAAAUUGGUUUCAUCAAGUCAGUCAAUUGCGCUUAACUGAAAAGAAUAACAAAGAAUGGAUAAAUCCUGGAUGAGUACUGAUAGAACGAAAAAACGCUAUAGAGAAGGAGUCGCGGCGUUUCUGCGGUAUGCUGUCAACCAUGUCAAGGAGGAGGGUGAUACAUUUGAUGAAUUUCUUAUGCUAUGUCCAUGUACGGAUUGUUUAAAUCUUUGUGAAUGCUCAGUUGGCGACGUAGAAGAUCAUUUAUUCUUAAAUGGAAUCGAUCAAACGUAUACUACUUGGACUAAGCAUGGGGAAAAGGAUGAGGCAAUUAG